GCUGCGCAGGGCCGGGCGGCGGAGGCUCCAAUGAGCGCACGCCGCGUCCCGGGCCGGCUGGUGCGCGAGACGCCGCCGAGAGGGACGCAAUGGCAGCCAUGGUCAGGAGGCAGAGGCCGAGGAGGCUAGCCUGUUGGGCCUUGAUGGCUGUGCUCUUGGCAGACCUGCUGGCGCUGAGUGACACACUGGCAGUGAUGUCCGUGGACCUGGGCAGCGAGUCCAUGAAGGUGGCCAUUGUCAAACCUGGAGUGCCUAUGGAGAUUGUCUUGAACAAGGAAUCCCGGAGGAAAACCCCAGUGACUGUGACCCUGAAAGAGAAUGAAAGAUUCUUUGGAGACAGUGCAGCAAGCAUGGCCAUCAAGAAUCCAAAGGCUACACUGCGUUACUUCCAGCAUCUCCUGGGGAAGCAGGAGAAUAACCCCCAUGUGGCUCUUUACAGAGCCCGUUUCCCAGAGCACGAGCUAGGCUUCGACCCACAGAGGCAGACUGUGUACUUCCAAAUCAGCCCGCAGCUGCAGUUCUCACCUGAGGAGGUCCUCAGCAUGCUUCUCAAUUACUCGCGUUCUCUGGCUGAAGACUUUGCAGAGCAGCCCAUCAAGGACGCAGUGAUCACCGUGCCAGCCUUCUUCAAUCAGGCGGAGCGCCGAGCUGUGCUGCAGGCUGCGCGCAUGGCUGGCCUCAAGGUGCUGCAGCUCAUCAAUGACAACACAGCCACCGCCCUCAGCUACGGUGUCUUCCGCAGGAAAGAUAUCAACACCACAGCCCAGAACAUCAUGUUCUACGAUAUGGGCGCGGGCAGCACCGUGUGCACCAUCGUGACCUACCAGACAGUGAAGACAAAGGACUCGGGGGUGCAGCCACAGCUGCAGAUCCGGGGAGUGGGGUUUGACCGCACCCUGGGGGGCCUGGAGAUGGAGCUCCGGCUGCGUGAGCACCUGGCCAGGCUUUUCAACGAGCAGCGCAAGGGCCAGAGAGCGAAGGAUGUGCGGGAGAAUCCCCGUGCCAUGGCCAAGCUGCUGCGUGAGGCCAAUCGACUCAAGACUGUCCUGAGCGCCAACGCAGACCACAUGGCACAGAUUGAGGGUCUGAUGGAUGACGUGGAUUUCAAGGCGAAGGUGACUCGAGCGGAGUUUGAGGACUUGUGUGCAGACUUAUUUGAGCGGGUGCCGGGACCGGUGCAGCAGGCCCUCCAGAGUGCGGAGAUGAAACUGGAUGAGAUUGAGCAAGUGAUCCUGGUGGGUGGGGCCACUCGGGUCCCUAAAGUCCAGGAGGUGCUGCUGAAGGCUGUGGGCAAGGAGGAACUCGGGAAGAACAUCAAUGCUGAUGAAGCCGCUGCCAUGGGGGCCGUGUACCAGGCGGCCGCGCUCAGCAAAGCCUUCAAGGUGAAGCCAUUUGUCGUCCGAGAUGCUGUGAUCUACCCCAUCCUGGUGGAGUUCACCAGGGAGGUAGAGGAGGAGCCUGGGGUUCACAGCCUGAAGCACAAUAAGCGCAUCCUCUUCUCCCGGAUGGGGCCCUACCCUCAACGCAAAGUCAUCACCUUUAACCGCUACAGCCACGACUUCAACUUCCACAUCAACUAUGGUGACCUGGGCUUCCUGGGGCCUGAGGAUCUUCGGGUAUUUGGCUCCCAGAAUCUGACCACGGUGAAGCUCAAAGGUGUGGGUGAGAGCUUCAGGAAGUAUCCCGACUACGAGUCCAAGGGCAUCAAGGCUCACUUCAACCUGGAUGAGAGCGGCGUGCUCAGCUUAGACAGGGUGGAGUCUGUAUUUGAGACUCUGGUGGAGGACAGCCCAGAAGAGGAAUCUACUCUGACCAAACUUGGCAACACCAUCUCUAGCCUGUUUGGAGGUGGCGCCACACCAGACGCUAAAGAGAACGGUACUGACAGUGUCCAGGAGGAGGAGGAAGGCCCUGCUGAGGGAAGCAAGGAUGAGCCUGGAGAGCAGGCAGAGCUCAAGGAGGAAGCAGACAGCCCGACAGAGGAUGCCUCCCCACCCCCACCCCCUGAGCCUAAGGGGUCUGCAGCCCCUGAGGGAGAAAAGACCACAGAGAAAGACGAUGGGGAAAAGCCUGAGGCCCAGAAGCCAAGUGACAAGGGGGAGGCCGGGUUUGAGAGUGUCCCUCCAGCCCCAGAGGAAGAAAAGAAGCAGAAGCCAGCCCGGAAGCAGAGAAUGGUGGAGGAGAUCGGGGUGGAGCUGGUUGUCCUGGACCUGCCCGACUUGCCCGAGGACGAGCUGGCCCGCUCAGCCCAGAAACUCCAGGACCUGACGCUCCGGGACCUAGAGAAGCAGGAACGGGAGAAAGCGGCCAACAGCUUAGAAGCAUUCAUCUUCGAGACCCAGGACAAGCUGUACCAGCCCGAGUACCAGGAAGUGUCCACUGAGGAGCAGCGUGAGGACAUCUCCGGGAAACUCAGCGCCACGUCCAGCUGGCUGGAGGAUGAGGGCUUUGGGGCCACCACAGCGGUGAGGGGCCUCCCUGGACAUGGCAGGCAGAAAUGGCGCCCUUCCCUCCCUCUCCCGGGGUCAGAGAGGGAGGAGGGCUGCGAUGUGAGGCAUAGAGAGGGGUGCAGGACUGGCUCCAGCACUGCCCUGUCAUCCCCUCAACCCCCUGCCACCCCCGCCCACCUCCGCCAGAUGUUGAAGGAGAAACUAGCUGAGCUGAGGAAGCUGUGCCAAGGGUUGUUCUUUCGGGUGGAAGAGCGCAAGAAGUGGCCUGAACGGCUGUCUGCCCUCGACAGUCUCCUCAACCAUUCCAGCAUGUUCCUCAAGGGGGCCCGGCUUAUUCCAGAAAUGGACCAGAUCUUCACUGAGGUGGAGAUGACAACGUUAGAGAAAGUCAUCAAUGAGACCUGGGUAAUCCCUGCGUCAAUACAUAACCCGGCGCGGUGGGCCGUCCUAGGCAGUGUGGGAGAUGCCGAGAAAUGGAGGGGGAGGCCAGAGAGUUGCGUUUGAGACCACAUCUGGUUAGUCCCAAACUAGGGUCACAGCCAUGAGUUAUUGACGAGAGCCACAGGGCCCGUCCCCAUGAGAUUGAAGCUGCUUUGGGGGACUUGAGCUGGACGCACAAAGUGGGUCGGGGGUUGGAGAGGUGAGAAUGACUUGUCUCAAGAAGCAGAAACUUUCGAAUGUGGGGACGUUUUUUGAACCAGAAUUCAGAAGUGGAGAGGCAAGAAGAAAAUAAUCAAGAGUUUCAGGUGUAAGUUAGUCUGAAGUAACAGGACAUAAGCCAGAAAACGUGGUCAGGGACUCCCUGUGGAGAGCCUUGAAUUCCAUUCUGAGGAGCCGGUCUACCCCUGUGGGACUGAUGGCCACGGGUGGCAGAGUGAUUUGAGGUCUGAGGGAAGAGCCUGAGGUUGGUUGAGGGUGUUUUUCAUUUGGGACAGAGGCGUCUGCUGUCUCUGUGGCUGGCUCUGAGCCUGGCCUGGCCCUCGCCCACAGGCCUGGAAGAAUGCAACCAUGGCCGAGCAGGCCAAGCUCCCCGCCACAGAGAAGCCCGUGUUGCUCUCCAAAGACAUCGAGGCCAAGAUGAUGGCUCUGGACCGCGAGGUGCAGUAUCUGCUCAAUAAGGCCAAGUUUGCCAAGCCCCGCCCCCGACCCAAGGACAAGAAUGGCACCCGGGCAGAGCCUCCCCUCAACGCCAGUGCCAGUGACCAGGGGGACAAGGUCAUCCCUCCACCAGGCCAGACUGAAGAUGCAAAACCCAUUUCCGAGCCUGAGAAAGAGACACAAGCAGGUUCUGAACCGGCAGGCUCUGAACCUCUGGAGUUAGGAGGUCCUGGAGCAGAAUCGGAACAGAAGGAGCAGCCGACAGAACAGAAGCGAACUUUGAAGAACGAUGAACUAUAACCCCCGCCUCCCAGUUCCCCCCUCGUCCGCCCCCUUCUCCUGCCACCACCUCUAUUUAUUAAACACCAAGGGCUGGGGGAGGGGUCGGUCCUGCCCUCAGAGGCCUGAGUUCCUCUUCUCACCUGUGAUCGGAGAUGUGGAGAAGGGGACGGGAAGACCAGCUCACCAGUUCCUUCCAGAGUAGUUCUGUGGUUAAAACUGAAAUUGUUCUGUUCCCAAUCCCACCCCCUGGUUCCCUGCCCAUCCAGGCCCUCAUUUGGGAAAAAUCACUAGUAUGUCUUAAUUCUUUGCCUGUGGGUAGGCGAGAGAAUGGCCAUUCGUGGCUGCUAGGCCUGGUAGAGGAAAGGGUGUCCUGGGGUAUUAGAGGGUCUCUGGUCUUCUCUGGUCCUCUUCCUUUCUCCCUCCCUCUCCCACCUCGAGACUGAUGCCACACGGGCCAGUGUCUGCAGAGCCUUGGUCACCAGGUUUGUUUCUGAGUGCCUGUGCUCUUGCCUCGUCUGAGAUCUUUCCCUAAAGACCCCCAUCCCCAUGCCUCCUCUCCCUAGUCUCCUUGGCUUUCUGCACGUUGGGCAGUCCUCUGCCUCUUGCUCAGAGCCCUUCAUCUGGACUGAAGUCUUAUCUAGAUGGACUCCCACCCACACGUACCACCCACACGUACCACCCCCAGCGGCCAGAGUUGGCAGGGAGAAAGUGAAGAAGGAAAUCCAGCUGCCUCUCCAGGAAGUGAGAUGUGUGAAAAUCCUGUGGCUCCCCCACCUGUGGACUCUUGGGCCUAGGAAAGCCAUGUGGAGUGGCUGGCACAGGAUGCCAGCGUCCGGCAGGCGCUCAAAAUCUGCAUCUUCCCAGGAGCCUGGUACUCCGUGUCCCUUUGAUUUCCUGCCCCUUUUCUCUCCCCAACUGUGCAGCACCCCUAGACAGCCUUUCCCUCACCCUUGGCCCCCUGGGCUGACCAAAAUGUGCUUUCUACUGUGAGCCCCUAUCCUGAGGCCCUGGGGGGCAGAAGACACCAUGGCGUGAAUGUAACAAAGCCACCUCGCUCUCUUAGAGGCAGACCUUGCAACGGAAUGAAGAGGGUACAUGCUGGCCUUUUGUGUGCUGCCCUGCUGGGAUGGGGGCCCUUUACCUGCCACGCAGAUAUUGGGCAGCUUCCUCUCCUGGAUCCCAUCUGUAGCAGGAGUCAGGGCUGCCACCCCAGCUCCUAGGGCAAGAGGGAGCCUGGUUUUGUCUUGUCCUUUUUUUCCUUUUUUUUGCCACAUUGGCAGAAAUGAGACCUAAGGGUCUUACCCCGUCCUGUAUGUUUUGAGUUGUUUCACUUGCAGUUAAGGCUGGUUGGACAGGUUUGAGUCAAAUUGUACUUUGUUCCAUUGUUAAUUGAGAAACUGUUUCAAUAAAAUAUUCUUUUCUACA